rnacentral:rRNA from 1 species
CGAACGGGUGAGUAAUGCGUGACCAACCUGCCCCAUGCUCCAGAAUAGCUCUUGGAAACGGGUGGUAAUGCUGGAUGCUCCAACUUGACGCAUGUCUUGUUGGGAAAGUGUUUAGUGGCAUGGGAUGGGGUCGCGUCCUAUCAGCUUGUAGGCGGGGUAAUGGCCCACCCAGGCUUCGACGGGUAGCCGGCCUGAGAGGGCGGACGGCCACAUUGGGACUGAGAUACGGCCCAGACUCCUACGGGAGGCAGCAGG